UGUUGAGAAGUCCUUUCAAAACAGGAGGGAUGGGAAAACUCCCGAGGUUUCUAAGAGGACACACAGGGCAUGUCUACCUCACCGUGAUGGAGCUCACCCCGUGCUGGGUUUGAAGGAGCAAGCUUCAGUCAGCAGAGCAGAGUCAGCGUGGAGCUCCAGCACGGUUUGCAGGACCCUUUUCCAGCCCACAUGGACAUUCCAUGCUGCCACAGCUCUGGGCUUCCCGUUACCUGGGCGAGCAGGGCUCCAGAGAGCCGAGAUGCUCCGUGCAUCCCAUCCCUUCCCAGUCUGCUCACCUCCUGCCACAGCCCAACUCCGAGCAGGCACUCAGGCUGCUCUGCACCACCUGUGCUUGCUCCUGACAGCCCUCCAGAAGCCGCUGUCCUUCCUUUGGUGUGCUCACAGUGCCCCUUAGGCUGGGUAUUAAAGCCAGAAGCCCUUGCAGUGUGCAAGUAAACUCUUUCUAGCACGCAGCCUGUUCCCGAGCCGCUCUGCACCGCGGUGCCUGGGCAGCCACACCCCUCACUUCUAUAUUAAGAGGCAAUGCCAGCUGCCACAAUUCAGCCUCCGUGCAGAUCCUGCUGGGCCAGCAGCUCCCGAUGGCACACAAUUUGCAGAGCUGGAGGCGAGGAAGACCCGGAGAUGUGAGGAGGGACAAGAGCAGCGUUCCCGAAAGCCGCACUGCCGCAUCCUAAUACUCCCUGGAGAGAGAUUUGGGGGCUGGCUCUGAAUCCAAUGCCACGAGUCCAGUGCCACCUCAGGGUGCCAGUAAACUUCUCUUUGAGGCAGUGGCUGUGAUCACAUCUCCAAGCUCAGGAACGAGGUGCACAGAUCUUCCCAGCCUGACUGACAUGAGAAGGAAACAUUCUGCUGAAUACAAAGAUCUUCUGAUCAAGUCACAAAGGAGUGGUUUCAGAUAUUGGAGAACAGAUGACCAAUGCACAGCAAGAACAGGAAAGAGGGCUUACCUUCAAGCAAACAUUUCAGAGGCACUGUAGAGUAAUGUGAAUUUAACAUCUGCUUUUCACUGUGAAGUUUCAAAUAUUUAUUUCAAGAGAAAUCAGGACUGGAUGGCUCCAGAGACCGAGGUAAAUUUGUUCUGUAAUUUACUCACAGAGAACAGCUCAGUGAGCUUUAAAUCAAGGCUUUAGAAGAUGAGCAGCUUUAUUUUUGGUGCAGGGAUGCUCAGCACCCUCCAUAAGUCAGCUCACUUGGAAUCUUCUCCAGACAAACUGCAAAACCCUAAAUCUUUCCCUAAAAAGGGUAUGGCUUUGGAACAGGCCCACCUUAGUGAUGGGCCCCAUUCCGUAGACAGGGAAGAGGCACAAGCUGAGUGUCCAAGGACACAAGGCCCCUCAGUGGCAGGGCUGAGGUUAUCUUCAAGUUAUCUCUGCUCAGUCCAGUGCUUUA